AUAUAAAGAAAAGACGAACAGCUCAGUAACUCUUAUUUUAUUUGAUGUAUUAGGAUUAUAACUAUGUUAAAUUAUAGAUAACAAUAAUACAAUAAGAAUAAGAUCUAUCAGUUAGUUGUUAAGGUAAUGGCUUAACAAGACUAUGACGGAUAACGGUAUUACUUUGUAAUAUUCCGGAGAAGGAGCCUGAGAGAUUGCUACUAAGUCUAAGGAUUGCAGCAGGGGCGAAACUUGACCUAUGAUAUGAUAUUGAGGCAGUUAUGAGUAGUAUUUUUAAUUAUUGUAGUAUUGUAAGUAUAUACUACAAGAUAAAUCGGAGGGCAAAUCGAG
rnacentral:rRNA from 1 species